GCUUGAAUUGUUUUUGUUCCCCAGUGAACAUUGUUCAACCUUUCCGGGCUUCCAUUCAUCACCCCGUUGAAAGGGGAAAAAAAAAACCACCAACACACAAAAAAACCCUUACCUGAAUGUUUUGGUCUUCUGGCUGUUCGUGUACUAUGAUUCCGUGGAGGAAGAAAAGUCAUUAAAUAUGCUCUGGGGAUGCUGAACGCUGCUCGUGACCUUUCGAAGAGACCUACUCGGCACUAGUUAAGGCUCUGGGAUAGGUUUUUAAGCUUGGAUUCUUGGGAUUCAUUUGCUUUAACAAAUACCACAAUUGCUAGUAUUAUUAUUAUUUAUUGAAUGUGGGUGAAACUAGAAGAGAAUGUGGAUAGAAAAUCGGAAUAAUGGCGAGCAAAGGGAAAGCAGUGAAGUAAGGUUUAGGUUAAGAUUUAACCUCUUGAGUUAAAUCCUAUCAAGACGUUCAGUCAUUCCAACAUUUAGACCUUCUAUUUUUUUGUUUUAUUUAAAAGAUGGGGGAGAUUCCUUUUCAGGAAAGACAUCUUAUAUUUUAGGGUUACAGAAACCCUAAAUUACACUACAUGAAUUACAUUAUGAAUUACAUUAAUGAAGAUGGUUUUUCCAAGUCACGUAUCAUGAUGGCAGCGAGCAUAGAAGCCUGACCAUCGCAGAUUAAAAAGCCUGACCUUUACUACAGUGGGGGGAAAUCAAGGUGUUACAGCAGCUCCUUGAUCAGGACGAGGGACAAAUGCGCACACACACACACACACACACACACACACACACACACACACACACACACACAUUUAGGAACAGAGAAACUUGUACACACAGAGGCAAUGGAAACCCCAGACUGACUUCCACGUGCAAAGACCUAACCAAAGCCACACAGAGGCACACGGGGAUAUAUGCUAACGUUCAAAGACAAAACAAGCAUACACAGUCGUACAGAAAUCUAUUUAUUGAAGACACUCUGAGACGGAAUAUCAGGGUGGAGUAUGAGACACCCACAGUCACUCGGGAGGCAGAGAUUACACCCUUUAGUAAGGGCGCAGGGAACGGUGCGGGGGAAUGAAAGACCUAGAGGCCAGUCUGUGGCUCUAUAUGGCUUAGUUUCUCCUCAUUGCCCAGUCUGGUCACCUGACCCCUGACACUCCAAACCCCUUACCUCAGACUCCAACACACUAAAAAUGUAAAUACUGCCCUCACAAGCGUAUCAUACAGAAAUAUAAAAUGCAAUGUCAAAUGCCAGUCCUACCAGUUUUAUCUUGAUCUCGCCAGACAAGAUGUUUAUUUGUGAUUAAUGAUCCCAGGCUUGUCCUCUUUUGACAGGUGGCAACCUGGUGGGAAGAUUUCUCAAUAAGAACGAUUAUUUCGGAGACGUUCGGCAAGAUUCCCCGUGGCACCUCUCUUUUCGAUUUUCUCACCCUCUUGAUUAAAAUAGGCUAGAUCCAUUUCAGGUGGCUACUUGAGGAAGACUGAAAGGAAAUCAAAAAGUCCCAUAAAAUACAGGAGUGGCUACGGUUAUCUACGAGCUCCCUGAUCUCUUCCGUCUUUCCAGAAUUCAUGCGAAGUAAACAGCCCCUGAAAUGCUUGAGACUCCUGUAAAGCUUGGGCAGAGCUAAGGAAGACAGAAGAUCACAGCAUGAAUGAUGGUUUAGAGAUUCCAGCUGGCAACUUGAAAUGGAUAUUCCUUUAUGGCGUAAUGGAAGGGGUGUGUGUCUGGAAGUCGGAGUAACCCACUUACCCGCUCCAUUAUCUUGGGUUAAGGCGUUAAAUCACCGUGUCAUUCGUUCAUUCAAUCAUAGGUACUGAGCGCUUACUGUAUGCAAAACA